rnacentral:rRNA from 1 species
GACGAACGCUGGCGGCGUGCUUAACACAUGCAAGUCGAACGGGCCUGUCUUCUUUUUUGGGGGGGGGUUGAGUGGCGAACGGGUGAGUAUCACGUGAGUAACCUGCCCUUCGGUCCUGGAUAACCGCUUGAAAGGGCGGAUAAUACGGGGUGGUCCGGUUGGUCCGCAUGGGCUGGUCGGGAUAGAUUCACUGUUUUUGGUGUUUCGGCGGGGGAUGGGCUCGCGGCCUAUCAGCUUGUUGGUGGGGUGAUGGCCUACCAAGGCGGUGACGGGUAGCCGGCCUGAGAGGGUGGGCGGCCACACUGGGACUGAGAUACGGCCCAGACUCCUGCGGGAGGCAGCAGUGGGGGGUAUUGCACAAUGGGCGGAAGCCUGAUGCAGCGACGUCGCGUGAGGGAUGGAGGCCUUCGGGUUGUGAACCUCUGUUUCCGGUGGUGAAGGCCCUGUCCGUGUGGUGGGGUUGACGGUAGCCGGGGAUGAAGCGCCGGCUAACUACGUG